UGUAGCGUCACUUCCUGCGUGACCCAGCUGAAGAACUCUCCACAGCACAUCUCCCAGGACUGACUUCUUAUUAACUAACUGAAAAAUAUGUGUUUCCACCCGAGGUCCUGGAUGUCCCCACGUUAUAGGACAACCAUCAGGAUUUUCCUCUGAUUUGAGUGUAGACCAAAGGGACAGCCUAACAGAGACAAACUGCCUAUUAGCUUCAAUAUCCACACCAGGAAUGGACAGUCAACCUGCUCUGGAAUAGCAUCUUGGUUGGUUUCCAGGCAUCCACCCCUAGAGGAAGGUGAACUGUAUUCCAGCUCAAGGAUACAUCCUAAUUGACCCAAGAAUCCCAUGGCCUGGCCCUGACAUGAAGCCUUCCACCAUCGACUCUUGCUUCCUUAUCCCAUCUAAAGAGAGAGCUGGAACCAAGAUGCAUUCUCUCCAUUGUUGGAAGGUGGUGCUGAUGAGAUGGAAGAUACACUAGAAGACAGUAAAGGAAGCUGCUAGGCCUUGAACAGCCAGGGUUCCUUACCGACCUGGACAACCUGGCUACUGUAGACUCAAGCAAGAGGAGACACACCUCUUCAUCACUCUUCCCUCAGGCCUUGGCCUGGGUGACAAUUCCUUGGGAAGCAAUCUAGCACCUUCCGGUGACCAUGACUUCCUGUGAGUGCCUACCCUGUCCUCACUGGAGCAUCCAUCAUGGUGUCCUACAAAGACCUUUUCUUAGUUAUGGUUUCUAUGGCUGUGAAGAGACACCAUGACCACCACAACUCUUAGAGAGGAAAACAUUUGAUUGGGACUGGUUUACAUUUCAGAGGUUUAGUCCAUUGUCAUCAUGGCAGGACACGGCUACACACAGGCAGACAUGGUACUGGAGAGGUAGUCAAGAGUUUUACAUCCAGAUCCACAGGCAGCAGGAAGAGAGUGAGACACUGGGCCUGGCUUGAGCAUCUGAGAUCUCAAAGCCCACACCCAGUGACACACUUCCUCAAACAAGGUCAUACCUACUCCAAAGGCCACACCUCCUAAUAGUGCCACUCCCUAAGAGUCUGUGGGGGCUGUUUUUAUUGAAACCACUACAGACAGCUGGACGGUGGUGGUGCACGCCUUUAGUCCCAGCUCUCAGGAGGCAGAGGCAGGUGGAUCUCUGUGAGUUCAAGGCCAGCCUGGUCUUCAAAGAGAGUUCCAGGACAGCCUGGAUACCUACAGAGAAACUCUGUCUCAAAAAACAAUUAAAAAAAAAAAGAAAGAAAGAAAAGAAAAAAACCAGUCAAAUCACUACAGACUUCAUCACUGGUCUGCAAACUCCACAAGGCUGGGAGCACCAUAAGUCAGGGACUGUGAUCCCAUCUGCCCUC
rnacentral:lncRNA from 1 species